UUCAAAUGGGUGUGGAGGGCAGAGAGGAAUGAAGAGAGAGAGCAGAGGAGGGCAGCAGAGAGAGGCAGAGGGAGGCAGAUACCGACACCUAGGCAGUAACACUUAGUGCGAGGGGGGGACGACACACCGGCUCUCAAUGGGCAGGUCUCUGUGAAGCGCAGCCUACCUGUUGGAGCUCAUUGCGGGAGACUGCCGUGCUGGACCCACGCUGAUCGUGGAUCUGCUGUUAAACCCACUGCACUUGCGAGGCGUGAACAGCCCAAACAUGUCUCCAAGACUAUUGCUCUGCGCUGUUUUGGCUGCGUACCACGGGACGCAAAUCGGCAGUGGAUUUAACAUAGAUGAACGGUUUCCUGUGAUCAAAGAGGGAAAAACCAAAGGGAGCUUCUUUGGAUUCUCAGUAGCUGUGCAUCAACAGACGGAGGGCGCCAGAAAGUACCUGCUUCUUGCAGGAGCACCAAAAGAGAAAGCCGAAUCUCUACGAAAUGUCAAUGAAACAGGCGCCAUCUACUCCUGUCCCAUUACAACAGAUCCGGCCGACUGCUCCAGAAUGGACCUGGUCAGCACAACAAAUCCAUCUGAGAUGGUGGAGGGCAUGUGGCUGGGUGUGACAGUGGCCAGUCAGAGAGACCAGCCGGCAGGACGCGUGCUGGCAUGCGGGCAUCGCUAUGUGAAGAUCAUCCAAAGCGGCAUAGAGGAGCAGCGGCGAAUGAUAGGAAAGUGCUAUGUCAGAAGCAACGACCUGACCUUUGACCCAAAUGACGAAUGGCAGACUUACAGUUAUGAGGUCUGCAACCCCAACUUCGACAUGGAUUUUGAGGGCCUGUGCAACAUGGGCAUGUCAGGCGGCAUGACAGACACUGAUGUCUACAUCGGCGCUCCAGGCAGCUAUCUGUGGCAAGGAAAUGUUCAUGUAACAUGGAGAGAUCCAGAUCCAGCGAAUGCCUGGGACUCUAUAGGCAAAGACUUUGGACAGCAGAAUAGACGAUACAGUUAUAUGGGUUACUCAGUUAUUGAGGAGAGGAAGCUGCUGAGCCAUAAUGACUACACAGUGGUGACAGGGUCUCCCAGGGACGAGUCCAAGGGCUCAGUGAUAUUCGGGAGUAAGACUGACAAAAACAUCGAAUUGGUGCUCACUCUCCCCGGGGAACAAGUGGGCUCGUACUUUGGGAACAGCCUGGCUGUCACUGACCUCAACAAUGACGACUGGAACGACCUGAUCGUUGGCGCCCCAUUUUACUUUGACCGUAUGAAGGAUGAGGGAGGAGCAGUGUAUAUCUUCAUGAAUGAAAAUGGAUCGUUCCAAAAGACCGCCAGCGUGGUGCUGAAGGGUCCAUCGGCCUCUGGAUUUGGCUUUGCAGUGGCUGCCAUCGGUGAUGUUAACCAAGACGGAUUCCAAGACUUUGCAGUGGGAGCUCCAUUCCAUGACACAGGAAAGGUCUACAUUUGGAUGGGAAGUAAAAAGGGAAUCUCAAAGGAGCCCAGUCAGGUGAUUGAGGGUAAGUCAGUGGGAAAUGGAGGAUUCAACACGUUUGGCUACUCCAUCAAUGGAGGGAUGGACAUGGAUGGCAACAGUUACCCUGACAUCCUAGUUGGCUCUCUGGACGACCGCAUGGCCCUGCUCAGGGCUCGACCAGUCAUCCACUUAACUAAGGACUUCACUGUCGAGCCAAAGAUUGUGGACCCCAGUCAGUGUCUUGGAAGUACACCAUGCAUCACAGCAACACUGUGUAUGUCUUUCACUCUAAGCAAUGGAAACAAAGACUUCAAGAAAAAUACCACGGUGAAGUACACGGUGAAGGCCGAUAUGGACAGGAGAAGCCCUCGUGUUCGUUUUGAGGACAAUGAUGACACAUAUAUCGGCUUCUUGAGCCUGCCAUCUUCCAAAUCCAUUUGUCAUACUAUGAAACUGAUUGUAACGGUGCCUGUGAGAGACAAACUGGAGCCGGUGGUCUUUUCCCUCAGCAUGUCCUUAGAUGAACAAAAACCUAAUUCAAGACGUUCCCUGCAGAACCUAGACUCUUUUCCAAUUAUCAGCCAGGAGCAGAAACUCACUCAAAGAGCUGAGAUUAACUUUCAGAGGGAGUGUGGCUUGGACAACAAAUGUAGCAGUAACCUGCAGCUGACAGCCGAGUUUGUUGACAACGAGGGAAAGCCUUACCUAAGGCAUGGCGAAUCGCAGAUACUCCCGUUCAACAGCAAUGUAAAGAAAAUAGGGCUGAUGGUGAAUGUGACCAACUCUCCUGAUAAGGGAAAGCUAGGUGAAGACGCCCACCAGGCCAUGCUCAACGUCACCAUCCCUGACACACUGAGUUACUCUGCAGUCUUGUCUGAGGAUCAUAAUGUACAAUGCCGUCUGACCGACACAGUGAUUUGUGACCUGGGGAAUCCACUUAAAGGCAAUGAAAAGGUAAUACUUUUGCUCAAGUUUGAGACCUCAGGGAUUAAUUUGUACACACAAGAGAUUGAGACCCAGCUGCUUCUGUCCACUCUUAGUGAGCAGAGUGACCUGAAGCCUGUGCCUCUGAGCCUUCUGAUUGAAAACACCAUCAGCCCCUCCUUCUUCAUAGCGAACCAGCCGGUGAAAACACAAUUCAGUGGGACGGUGAUGGGCAUGUCAGCCAUGGUCAACACCAGUGACGUGGGCAGCCUGGUCGAGUUCACCUUGGAUGUGAACAUGGGGGGACAGCCCCUGGGACACAUGGGGACCCUGGCUGUAGAGUUUGAGUGGCCCUUUGAGGUAGCCAAUGGCAAGUGGCUGCUGUACCUGACGAAGAUUGUUGUUAAAGGGGAAUCUGAGGUGGAAUGUAAACCUGCUGGAGAAGUUGUCAACACGCUUAACUUAACUUUGUCAGGGAGCGACCGAAAGCGUACUAAACGACAGAUCACAGUGGCUGAUGAUGAUGAUACGACAAAGCCACAUAUGGCAGCCAUCAAGCUGCUCACUCCUCGCAAAGAGACCUACCUGUUGGAUUGCUUCAAAGGGACAGCACGUUGUGUGACGUUUACCUGCCCGCUGGUCAACAUGACGAAUUCAGCCAAGAUUUAUGUCCGCUCCCGUUUGUGGAACAGUACAAUGCUAGAGGACUAUUCCAACGCUCUGACAAUUACGGUCAACGGUCAAGCCACACUGAAGCUCAUUCAAAAUAAACCAAACAUCAAGAUGGACAGUCAGGUCAACAAUGUGCGUGUUCACAGUAGAAAUAGAACCACUGGAGGGGGUGGAGGCACCCUAUGAGCUCCCGCUGUGGAUCAUCAUCUCUGCAGCUAUAGCGGGAAUUGUCCUACUGGGAAUAAUCAUUCUUAUAUUAUGGAAGUGUGGCUUCUUCCAGAGGGCCAGCAGGAGGGAAAUGUAUGAGGCCAAAGCCCAGAAGGCUGAGAUGAAGAUCCAGCCCUCUGAGACAGAGAGGCUGACUGAGGACUACUGAGGCCCCCAUGGGUCCCCCAACCGCACACACCAGUGGGGCUUUUGGCUUGGAUUCUUCAAGCGUGCCAUCUACUACCGGAUAAUGCCAAAGCACCAGGGGGUGAGAAUUCGCAAGGCUGAGCGGUAUCAGUUCAAUCUGGGAUUUCAGCCUGAGGAGCCACAGAAAAAGUAUUGGAUCACCAACUGGACAGAGAUGCAGCAUUACUACUACUGAGGCCUUUACUUUGGCCCUUGAACCACUCACUGUCACACUGGUUUGACACAGGCCAAACAAAGAACGUUGGGCUCGGUCGAGCCACGUGCAUGGACCAAUUGUGGAUAUUGCAUUCCAUUUCUUUUUUUUUUUUUUCUUUUUUUUUUUUUACUUUAUCUAGAUUUCAACUUUUUCAGUGCAAUAGACUGAACCAUUUGCUUCAGAGAUUGUAAUUUGUAAGUAUUUUUGAUGAAUGCAGUGUUGGAAUCUGGGUUGCAUUCAAGAGUAAAUUGUUUUGAUUACAACGUUUGCAUGCCUUUUCUUUGCAAAGUUGGCUGGUCAAUAAUCAUUAUUUCCACCAUGUCUGUGUUUUCCUCUCUAAUAAGAGAAGUGAGUCUAUUGAUCUUUUCCGUGAUUGUGUAUUUCCUGCUCUGUCCCCAGCCAUCACUUUGUGGUCAGCGUUUGUAGACUAUGUAAGGGUUUUAAACGUACAUCAGUUGUUUAGGAGAUUGUUUUCGAACUGCACUUAGAAUAUGUUGACCAGCAUCCACUCUGUUAUGAGAGACUUUAUGUGAAUGUCAAUGGUUUACGUAGAUUCGCAUCUCAAAUAGUUGUGGCACUGACCUC